rnacentral:rRNA from 1 species
AUUGAACGCUGGCGGCAGGCCUAACACAUGCAAGUCGAACGGUAACAGGAAACAGCUUGCUGUUUCGCUGACGAGUGGCGGACGGGUGAGUAAUGUCUGGGAAACUGCCUGAUGGAGGGGGAUAACUACUGGAAACGGUAGCUAAUACCGCAUAACGUCGCAAGACCAAAGAGGGGGACCCUCGGGCCUCUUGCCAUCGGAUGUGCCCAGAUGGGAUUAGCUUGUUGGUGGGGUAACGUCUCACCAAGGCGACGAUCCCUAGCUGGUCUGAGAGGAUGACCGGCCACACUGGAACUGAGACACGGUCCAGACUCCUACGGGAGGCAGCAGUGGGGAAUAUUGCACAAUGGGCGCAAGCCUGAUGCAGCCAUGCCGCGUGUAUGAAGAAGGCCUUCGGGUUGUAAAGUACUUUCAGCGGGGAGGAAGGGAGUAAAGUUAAUACCUUUGCUCAUUGACGUUACCCGCAGAAGAAGCACCGGCUAACUCCGUG